rnacentral:rRNA from 1 species
UGGGCAACCUGCCCCUCUCUCUGGGAUAACCCCCGGGAAACCGGAGCUAAUACCGGAUACUCCGGCUGGAUCGCAUGGUCCGGCCGGGAAAGGUCCGCCGGAGAGGGAUGGGCCCGCGGCCUAUCAGCUUGUUGGUGGGGUCAUGGCUCACCAAGGCGACGACGGGUAGCUGGUCUGAGAGGACGACCAGCCACACUGGAACUGAGAUACGGUCCAGACUCCUAGGGAGCA